rnacentral:rRNA from 1 species
GACGAACGCUGGCGGCGUGCUUAACACAUGCAAGUCGAGCGGGUGCAGCAAUGCAUCAGCGGCGGACGGGUGAGUAACGCGUGAACAAUCUGCCUCUAUCAGCGGGAUAACACAUAGAAAUAGGUGCUAAUACCGCAUAAGACCACGAUUUCGCAUGAAGAAGUGGUAAAAGCUCCGACGGAUAGAGAUGAGUUCGCGUCCCAUUAGCUAGUUGGUGAGGUAACGGCCCACCAAGGCGACCAUGGGUAGCCGACCUGAGAGGGUGAUCGGCCACAUUGGAACUGAGAAACGGUCCAAACUCCUACGGGAGGCAGCAGUGGGGAAUAUUGGGCAAUGGGCGCAAGCCUGACCCAGCAACGCCGCGUGAAGGAUGAAGGUUUUCGGAUUGUAAACUUCUGUCGCGAGGGACGAAGAAUGACGGUACCUCGUAAGAAAGCCCCGGCAAACUACGUGCCAGCAGCCGCGGUAAUACGUAGGGGGCAAGCGUUGUCCGGAAUGAC